rnacentral:rRNA from 1 species
GACGAACGCUGGCGGCGUGCUUAACACAUGCAAGUCGAACGGAAAGGCCCUGCUUUUGUUGGGUGCUCGAGUGGCGAACGGGUGAGUAACACGUGAGUAACCUGCCCUUGACUUUGGGAUAACUUCAGGAAACUGGGGCUAAUACCGGAUAGGAGCUCCUGCUGCAUGGGGGGGGUUGGAAAGUUUCGGCGGUUGGGGAUGGACUGGCGGCUUAUCAGCUUGUUGGUGGGGUAGUGGCUGACCAGGGCUUUGACGGGUAGCCGGCAUGGGAGGGUGACCGGCGUCAUUGGGACUGAGAUACGGACCAGACUCCUACGGGAGGCAGCAGGGGAGAAUAUUGCACAAUGGGCGGAAGCCUGAGGCAGCAACGCCGCGGGCGGGAUGACGGCCUUCGGGUUGUAAACCGCUUUCGCCGGUGACGAAGCGGGAGUGACGGUAAUGGGUAAAGAAGCACCGGCUAACUACGUG